UCGCUUAGCUCCGCGAUCACCCUUUGAGGUUCGCUGCGGGCAGGAGUCGGCGGGAGGAGGCCAGCCUGCUCCCAGGACUCCGAUGGUUUAAAACUGGCAGUGAGGUCCCAAAGGACUGCGUUACCAAACCUCAUACAACUUGCGGAAGACUCAUUACUUCCCUGGCACGGUCGAACAAAUGGAGGCUGGGAGAGAAGGUCCCAGAGCUUAGAAGCCGUGGUGACGCCAAACGGUGCAAGGCAGAGGGGUGGUUAUUAACCCCAUUAUCACCAGCACCAACCCCCCCCAACGUAAGAUAUAAUUACAGUUUCUCAACUUUAUGUCGGAAGCAAAUAAAGGCAUUUUAACAAUCA